rnacentral:rRNA from 1 species
GUAUUGGCGUGUUAUUGGCGUACAACUUUGAGCGGUGGAUCACUCGGCUCGUGUGUCGAUGAAGAGUGCAGCCAACUGUGUGAAUUAAUGUGAACUGCAUACUGCUUUGAACAUCGACAUCUUGAACGCAUAUUGCGGCUACGGGAUAUCCUGUGGCCACGCCUGUCCGAGGGUCGGCU